UACAGAGGUCUCAAGCGUUGUUCGGAUUCAUUGGGCGUAAAGGGUGCGUAGGUGGCGCCGUAAGUCAGGUGUGAAAUCUCGGGGCUCAACCCCGAAACUGCACUUGAUACUGCGGUGCUCGAGUACUGGAGAGGAGACUGGAAUUCAUGGUGUAGCAGUGAAAUGCGUAGAGAUCAUGAGGAAGACCAGUGGCGAAGGCGGGUCUCUGGACAGUUCCUGACACUGAGACACGAAGGCCAGGGGAGCAAACGGG
rnacentral:rRNA from 1 species